GGAUGGGUGGCAGGCCAGGCCUAGCACGUGCGACCUCGAGGUUGUUCAAAAUGUUCAAAUCGAGGACUGAGAAGCGCAUGGUGGCCUUGGUAAUAACACAGGCUGCUGGGAGGGGGCUCUUACAGACCCAUCAGCAAUUCUGUACCCAGCAGCAGGCAGUGGGUUAUUUAAUCAGGGUGUUUGUCCUCUGCAGAGCGAGUGGCCUGCUCCUCCUGCUUGUGCCCAGGCUGCUGGGAAAGCCUUGCCUUGGCCCAGGAGGGAUGGAUGUGAGCUGCACUUGUUCUAGUCCUGCUCCUUUAGGUGCAGCAGGUGCUGCGUGCCUCCAGGCCACCCCACCGCCACCAUGGCUCUCUACAACAACGGGGCCAACGCGCCCUCGCCGCAGGAAGCCUCCAACGGCUUCGCGCAGCCCGGCGCCUCGGGGACGUGGCACAAGGCCGAGGAGGAGGUGAGGCUGGCGGAGCCCAGCCUGGUGAAGAAGGCUCACCGCGAGAUCCUGGACCACGAGCGCAAGCGGCGGGUGGAGCUCAAGUGCAUGGAGCUGCAGGAGAUGAUGGAGGAGCAAGGGUGAGUGGUGGGUGCUCGGGGCUGGGUUGGGAUAUCCCGCGGUUGGGCACCCCCGUUGGACACCCCCUGGCACCUCCUCCUGCCCCUUUUUCUCUCUAAACCACCUUGAAGUGGCAAAUAUUCCCAUUUGGAAAGAAAUUUGUCUUUGGGUGGAUUGGGCCGGUCUCUGCAGCACCUUUUUGGGGUGAGAAAGGGCCAGUCUGUGCCUCGUGGGUUAGGGAAAUGAAGCAGAGCUGUGGCUGAGUCCCAGGUGAGGCUGGUCCAGUGCUUCAGUUUGUCCCUGCCUCCCCUUUCACCCUCCAGUUUUGGGGCUAAAGCCUGACUGAUGGAGCAAAUUCUUCAGCGCACGCCGGGAGACGGGGACUGGCAUCAGCUGCGGAGAGGGAAAAUGGAUUGAGGGAAGGCUUCGCCAAGGCUUUCAUUAAGAGCGCAGCCGUGACCUAGAAUUAAAUUGUCUCACACAGACUGGAAUAAUGAUUACGCCUAAUUUGUCGUUAUGGAAAUAAAUAAGGCUGACCUGGCGCCUUGGGGAGCCCGGGUCCUCCUUUCGGGUUCCCGUGCCCUACGAGGAGCCUUACUAUGAGUAGUAGUAAUAGUGCAGCGGGUAGUAGCGCCGUGGUGAUGGGUAUUGUUGCUGCUGUAAUUGUCUUUGCUGUUAUUAAGGCUAUUAAUAACAGUGGGGACAGGGAUCCACCGAAAUGAUAAUGUAAUUACAGCAAUAAUCUUGGCC
rnacentral:lncRNA from 1 species